AUUAUAACAAAGAAGUAACACAUAAUAAGGUUGCCUUAUUUAGUGUGUAUCAAUCGAGUUUCUGACCUAUCAGCUUUUGAUGUUAGGGUAUUGGCCUAACAUGGCUAUGACGGGUAACGGGGAAUUAGAGUUCGAUUCCGGAGAGGGAGCCUGAGAAAUAGCUACCACAUCUAAGGAAGGCAGCAGGCGCGUAAAUUACCCAAUUCUAAAGAAGAGAGGUAGUGACAAGAAAUAACAAUACAAGGCCAUUUCAUGGUUUUGUAAUUGGAAUGAUGGGAAUUUAAAACCUUCCCAAAAUUCAAUUGGAGGGCAAGUCUGGUGCCAGCAGCCGCGGUAAUUCCAGCUCCAAUAGCGUAUAUUAAAAUUGUUGCAGUUAAAACGCUCGUAGUUGAAUUUCAAAGAAUCAAUAUUUUAAGUAAUACUUUUGCUAUAAGAUGCUUAGACAAUACAACGUAUCUGUUCUUUGCAUUCCUUAUGCAAAAUGUGUUCUUAUUAUAAAAAGGAUUCUUUUUAAAAUCUCUUUUGCUAUUUUUUAGUAUUGGAGAUUUUGUUACUUUGAGUAAAUUAGAGUGUUCAAAGCAAACAGUUAAAGCAUUUUU
rnacentral:rRNA from 1 species